rnacentral:rRNA from 1 species
GAUGAACGCUGGCGGCGUGCCUAAUACAUGCAAGUAGAACGCUGAAGGAAGGAGCUUGCUCUUUCCGGAUGAGUUGCGAACGGGUGAGUAACGCGUAGGUAACCUGCCUGGUAGCGGGGGAUAACUAUUGGAAACGAUAGCUAAUACCGCAUAACAGUAGAUGUUGCAUGAUAUCUACUUAAAAGGCGCAAUUGCACCACUACCAGAUGGACCUGCGUUGUAUUAGCUAGUUGGUGAGGUAACGGCUCACCAAGGCGACGAUACAUAGCCGACCUGAGAGGGUGAUCGGCCACACUGGGACUGAGACACGGCCCAGACUCCUACGGGAGGCAGCAGUAGGGAAUCUUCGGCAAUGGACGGAAGUCUGACCGAGCAACGCCGCGUGAGUGAAGAAGGGUUUCGGAUCGUAAAGCUCUGUUGUAAGAGAAGAACGAGUGUGAGAGUGGAAAGUUCACACUGUGACGGUAUCUUACCAGAAAGGGACGGCUAACUACGUG